GCUUAAAUGCGACAGGCCUAGUAGUUUGAUGCCACGACUCUAUCUCAGAUUUGAUCUCAUCUGAUUAAUUUGUAUCUGAUGGGAAAUGCUCCUAAUCAAUAUCAUAAGGAAGACAACAGAAAUAUUAAUAAAAUUUGUUGGAGAAGAGAUUAGGUUAAAUGUGACAAGCGUAACCCAAGAAACCAAAAAGAAAAAAGAAAAAAAAAACUCAAAAAAUAGAAUUAAAAAAAAAAGAUACCAAAAAUAAACAAAUUUAGGAAGAAGUUACGAUCAUUGCAGAUUUUGUUAAUCUGAACUUGACUUGUCUUAACUUCAAUACAGCUACAUCUGUUAUUAUCAUAACCAAUUAAACCUGGCUAAAACUAAAAUAGAGACUUAUGAAUAGUAUUAUACCAAGCUACAAUCCAGACUUGGCCAAACUAGCUUGAGCUGACCGAACCCUACCCUGGUUUUGUCAGGGUUAAAAAUUUUGUAAGACUAGCCGAAUUUUCAUUUCAGAGUCGAGCCAACUUAGAUUAAAGCAGGUCUUUUUUUCUUACCAAAAAAGAAACAGGGAUCUUUUUGCUCUUGAGGUUCAAACUAGACUCAUACUGGUUGCAGUCCUAAUAACAUGACUAACUAAAAGUUUUAGAAAGAGUAAAAUUAAAGAGCUAACCAAAAAUAGUGGCAUAAUAAUCUUUCUGAAACAAUUACUGCAUCAACAACCAAUCUUCAUCAACAUAGCCAUGCCCCAAAAACAAAACCAUCAAAGGAGACAUUAACUUUGGUUGGAGGCAUGGUUCCUAUUUUGCAACUUUCUCAACCUAUUUAACUUGUCAAAACAGUCCUUACAUCACUCCUUGGAUGGCAAUCUCAGGUUCUGUGGCUUUAGCUUUCAUUAUGCUAUCUCAGCAAUGUGGACUUCUACCCUUUGAAAAUCGCAUACAAGAUGCUUCUAGGGUCUGUUACGUGAUACAAUUGUUGCCUGGCACUAUCAUGGCCUUGGAUAAAUUUUCUGACUCUUCCAUCUCUGAUAUCUUCAAUACAUAUCCUGAUUAUAUAUUGAGCACUCUAUUGGAGGUUAUGCUGAUGCUUCAUGAAUUAUUGACACACUGCACUAUAAAAACUAUUGCUUAUAACUAUCAUAGGCUUUCUUUUUUCAAGCUGCCAGGAGUGCUAUUAUGAAUCCCUGCUGUGUGGCCAUCCAUGCUCAUGGGUCUUCCACUUCAUGUUCUCUAUAUUCUAUAUUCUUCAGCAGGGCCUUCUACCUAAUGCUUUGUAUUAUAACAAUUAUUUUUCCUUUUAUGAUGCUUCCAUCUAUCAUAUGUAUCGGUUCUCUAUUCUGUUGUUUAACGCAACUUUCAGACUAAUUUUGUUUGGAAUCAAGCUACGGCUCCUCUUUCUACCAACAAAAAAAAAAAAAAACAAAAAAAAAAAAAAAAAAAAGAA
rnacentral:lncRNA from 1 species